rnacentral:lncRNA from 1 species
AUAUAUAUGCAAACGUACAAUUUUGAUGUAUGGUUUGAAUUUGCGCAACAUGUGAAGAUCGUGUUCACCAAAUACAAUCGUGUCGUGAUUCGGUGUGUGUUCGGUAAAUCGCUAAGUAUAUUAGUUAUCUCAUGAAUGAAUAUUCUAUAUGAUAUAUCCAUGAAUUUGAAGGUUGCGGUCAAGUUAGAUUGCAACAAAAAUUACAUGAAGUUUUGAACUUGGUGGCGUGGAACCAGAAUAUUGGUUCGGCAGGGGUAGAAAUUUGAAGUUGAUUUAGAUUUUUGGUUGUGCCUUGUGUCAGUUGUGUGAGAGCAAGGAGUUGAAUAAAAUAAGAGGAACAGUACAACUUGCGUCGACACAUGUUUAUAUCUAGUUUAAAAUUCCAGUAUGUAAAAUGAAUACUUAGUAAAUUAAACAGGAAAUUCAAAAUAAUAAAAAAAUGAUUUUUUUCUUAUAAUUUAAUGGAUAAUAUUCCCAUAUAUUUUUAUCCACAACAUAGUUUAAUCCAUAUAUGUGUGUGUGUGAUUUUGUGUGUUCUCUGAAUAUUACAGGGUCAAUAUAGGUAAUUUUUCAAUUUAUUCAUUUUUCAGCUAAUUCUAGAUGAAAUUUAAAAAAUGUUAAACAACUUGAGGGAGGCUUGCUCCAGGCCAGGCCACCUUCACACGGUGAGUGUUUCUGCCACUGUAUAACUUGAACAAUUUGAAAUUUUAUUAUUAUUUUCUUUUUAAGGUUUGAAUAAAGGAACAUAUUCAUCAAAUAUUGAUUCUUAAUUUUUUUUAUUACUUAAAUUUGAGUGACCUGCAAAUGUCAACCCAAUUUUGGUUGAAUUUUAAUCAAAUGAACUUAGCCAUAUGAUAAUAUUGAUGGACAUUCUAUUAUGAGUGAUGUAGCCUUGUAGGUCAUCUUCAUCGCUUAUCUAAUUUUUUUUUCGGUGUAUUAAAUCGUUUUGUAUCUAAAGACACAUUGGCCCCGACUAAUUCAAAUUCGAGUCGGGACCUAAUGUGGACCAUUAGAAUGACACAACUCUCUUAAAAAGUAUUUUACGCAAUGCCUAUCUUGUUGUGUAUGAAUAAUAAUGGAGAAUUAAUUGUUUUAACUAAAAUGUUGGCAGCUCUUGCAUCGACCUGCAGUCGGGCUCGCAAGUUGUUGGACAACUAAACAUCCGUUUCAUUUAUGUUUCUCCUUAUCGAAUUCUUAAUUACGACAACAUUUUCAAUGAGCUGUCUCGUGGUUGAUUGUUGUUAAUUUGUUCCUCUCCAAUGUGGGAUAAGAUUGAAUAUUCUCAAGGAGUUGAGGACAUUAUCAAAUAAUAAAUACGCAAGUUAGUAAUUGAGGGGUAGCUCAUUAAAAUCAGUAUAAAAUCAUUUGAAUAAAUCUUAUGACUAUUGACAAUUCUAUUCAGCUUAAUGACAAAAUGCAGCAUGUCCUUUUUCAUGCUUUCGCCAUCAUUAUAUGUAGAAAGGCAACUUGUCUAUUAGAAUGUAGCUAACUGGAAAGACAUAACGCAAUUACUUAAUGGGACAUGUUAGACAGAAGUUAUUCAAUUUCCAUGAUAUUUUGCAAGACUUUAAAGUCAAUGUGAUUUCUCGACCGCACAUGCACGAAUAAUGGUCCAGUACUAUAGUUGCUUUUUUCUUUUUUCGAAUUUUCCCGUAGAAAUUUUUUCCAUUCAAGCAAACUAAUCUUUUCUAGGAAGAGGGUUACAUGCUUUCACCAUUUGCUUGGCCUAUAUAUAUCAAAGAGGUUGAUUUCUUUGCUUCAAUCAAUUUCAUUUUGAACAAGAUCAUAAUUUAAUUUGUUGUUAGGUUAUAAUCAAAACAUAGAAAAGGUUGAUAGAAGUGGUGUAUCACGUUUGAGGAAAAUUAGCAUAUCCACCAUGUUCUUUUACUAAAACUAAGCAAAAGCCUCCCUCAUAUUUUAAGAUAAGUAAUUUUAAUUACUUGAUUU